UAUUGAUAGAGGCGCAGCUUUCAAGAGUAACCGCAGGUCAAAGGGGACGUAUUUCCGCGGUGAAAGGGGACGCUGCCGAAGUGUGCCGGACUUGUCCGAGACGGUAUGCUGGGUCGUUGCAGAAUAUGUAACGGACUGUCACUUGUGUGGAGAGCUAUCGG
rnacentral:ncRNA from 1 species